rnacentral:rRNA from 1 species
AGUGAACGCUGGCGGCGUGCCUAAUACAUGCAAGUCGAACGGAGAUUAAGUAGCUUGCUAUUUAAUCUUAGUGGCGCACGGGUGAGUAAUAUAUAGCUACUUGCCCAAUUCUUAGGGAACACCGGUGGAAACGACCUCUUAUUACUUAAACCCCGUAUCUAAAAAAGGAGAAUCGGGGAAGUUUUUCGGUUAUGGAUAGGGCUAUAUCGUUUCAGCUAGUUGGUAAGGUAAUGGCUUACCAAGGCUAUGACGCGUAACUGGUUUGAGAGGAUGAUCAGUCACACUGGAACUGAGACACGGUCCAGACUCCUACGGGAGGCAGCAGUAGGGAAUAUUGCUCAAUGGGGGAAACCCUGAAGCAGCAACGCCGCGUGGAGGAUGACACUUUUCGGAGCGGAAACUCCUUUUCUUGGGAAAGAAUUAUGACGGUACCAAAGGAAUAAGCACCGGCUAACUCCGUG